UCUCCGUAGGUGAACCUGCGGAGGGAUCAUUACUGAGUGAAGGGCCCCCGGGUCCGACCUCCUACCCUUUGUGAACCAACGACGUUGCUUCGGGGUUACGCCUUCGCGGGCGGCCCCGGAGGCAUUUUACACACUGCGUAUCAUGCGUCUGAGUUUUAUACAAAAUGAAACAAAACUUUCAACAACGGAUCUCUUGGUUCUGGCAUCGAUGAAGAACGCAGC
rnacentral:misc_RNA from 1 species